rnacentral:lncRNA from 1 species
CUGUAAUAUAGUUCUUCACUUGUGACUAUUUAAUUUUCAUGUUACACUUUUCAGGCAUUUCGAUCAUUAGUUUUCGGCAUAAGUCAAUGAGCAAAAGCACGUCUUAAAUCUUUGCAAUACAGGAAGGAUUCCCAAAUUAGAGAAUGUAUUUUAGUCAACACAGAAUUUACCUUACAAUGGAGUCAGAGAGAUAGUGACCGAAAAUGUUCCAUUGGCUCCAGUUGUCCCAACUCAUGAAAAAGUCCCAAAGAGAAGAGCUGUUAAGUCCAGGUCUCUACCAUCUUCACCAUCCCCACAUGGACAUGGGUCAAGGUUGCGUCCCCUACAUGAGGAGACAAGAGGAAUGUGUUGGGGUAAAGGAAUACGUAAGGUCCUGAUUCCAAGAAGUGAAAUUUGGUGCAGUGAGGAGGAAAAACAACGUGGAAAGAAGGAAACGCUGCGAUAGCCAUUCAAAACCCCACAAUCAGACCUUGUUUAUGUGAUAUGGACUCUGAGCUUUCUCUUAAAAAAUGCAUGCGAUUAAGAAAAUACUUUGAGAACCUAAUAACAGUUCCCUGAAACCUGAGAUCCACCUCUCAUCUUUCUAACUCUUGGGAAUGCAGCUAAUAAGAAUGUAUGUUUUUAAUACACUGAUUCUUAGCAACAAAGUAGUUCUUUAAUUAGUACAAAACUCGAAUAAUGCAUUGCCCAUUGUUGUGCAUGGCACAUAACAUUCGGUGACUUGUAUGGGCAUAUUCGUUUACAUAUGUCACUGCUGUACCUGUAAUUUAGUUUAAUGCCAAGUGUGUGUGUGUGUGGGUAUAUGUGUGUGCGUGCGUGUGUGCGUGUGUGUGUGUGUAAAGCUCUUCCCAACAGUCGUUUCAUGGGACUUCUCAGUAGUAACUAAAACAGUGUUCAUUUUAGGAAAUCACAAUCAAAGUGCCUUUUUUUUUGCAGGUGUCCAUAAUAUUCUUUACUCACACUAGGGCACUGAGUGACUCAUCA